rnacentral:lncRNA from 1 species
UGGAGACUAUUUUGCUUGAAGAAGAUGGCAAACUCACUGAACAGAUUCUUGUUCAACAUCAGGAUGGGUGCUUAUCACUGGAGAGAAACACAGAGAAUGAUCUUCUUCCCCAGGAAUUUGGUGACCACCGAGACUUAAUACAACAGGAAAUUUUUAUUCAACACGUGCAGGAGGCGAUUGAAGUAGAAGUGAAUAUUUCA